GACGAACGCUGGCGGCGUGCCUAAUACAUGCAAGUCGAACGAGAGCGACCGGUGCUUGCACUGGUCAAUCUAGUGGCGAACGGGUGAGUAACACGUGGGUAACCUGCCCAUCAGAGGGGGAUAACAUCCGGAAACGGAUGCUAAAACCGCAUAGGUCUUCGAGCCGCAUGGCUUGAAGAUGAAAAGAGGCGCACGCUUCUGCUGAUGGAUGGACCCGCGGUGCAUUAGCUAGUUGGUGAGGUAACGGCUCACCAAGGCCGUGAUGCAUAGCCGACCUGAGAGGGUGAUCGGCCACAUUGGGACUGAGACACGGCCCAAACUCCUACGGGAGGCAGCAGUAGGGAAUCUUCCGCAAUGGACGCAAGUCUGACGGAGCAACGCCGCGUGAGUGAAGAAGGUUUUCGGAUCGUAAAACUCUGUUGUUAGAGAAGAACAAGUGCUAGAGUAACUGUUAGCGCCUUGACGGUAUCUAACCAGAAAGCCACGGCUAACUACGUG
rnacentral:rRNA from 1 species